GGCCUUGUAGUGAAAUUCAUGUUGGGUUGCAAGCCCAUUGAUGCACAUUGAGAAUGUGCCAAGGUCU
rnacentral:tRNA from 1 species